AGCCUUAAGUUUAAUUUAAGGUGAGACCUGCCCAAUGCAAAAAUGUAAACGGCCGCAGUACCUUGACUGUGCUAAGGUAGCAUAAUCAGUUGGCUUUUAAAUGGAGUCGGGAAUGAAUGGAUUAAUGGAAUAAAGCUGUCUCUUUUAUAUUAAUUUGAAUUUACUUAUUAGGUGAAAAUUCCUAUAUUUAGAAAAAAGACGAGAAGACCCUAGGAGUUUUAACUAAUAGUUAUUUUUAACUUACGUUUUGGUUGGGGCGACGUUGGAGAAUUAUAACCUCCUAUAACUUAUUUGCCGAUGAAAUAUAAUAAUAUAAACUACCCUAGGGAUAACAGCGUAAUUCUUUUAGAGCUUGCGACCUCGAUGUUGGACUAGGAAUUUAUUAGGCUAGCCGCUUAUUUAUACUGUUCUGUUCGAACAAAUUUCUCCUACAU
rnacentral:rRNA from 1 species